AUUUGUUCAGUCACAGCAGUACACUGUUGAUGCAUAAAUUGUGCUAAAAGCAGGAAAGCAUUGAAAGCACACCGGUGUGAGGUGAAUGUAAAUCCACUUGCAGCUUUUAAGACAAGGCUCCCCAAAUGGAUAUUAGCAAAAGUGCUGUCGAAGAAAAGCUAGCUUAUCCGGUGAGAGAACCUCAUCAUCAAGAAAGAACAAUACUUUUACUGGACAGGAAUUCAGUCCUGCAUAAUGAGGAAAACUGUUGCAGGCUGUAAAGAAGGAAAAAAAACAGUUUGUUCACGUUCCAGCCAAGAGCAACAGAGGACGAAGAAGCUCUGAGCCAGAGCUGUGGAAGUGCUUAAUGUGGUGAAGCUACAGAGUCGUCCUGGGAACUUUUACUCAAGUACAGUGAUGCAUUUUUGCUGUACUUUGGCCGUUUAUGCCAAUCAAACCCAUCAGAAAUGUUCUUGGAAGUGAAAACAGCAGUUAGAAGUUGUAAAUGUGGCGUUGGGAUGGACGUUUCAGGAACCAUACAGCUCAGAAAUGCUGAUUUAGGCAGUCCACCACCCACCCUAAGUCUGGUUCUGUCUGAUGUCUGAGGAAUCAAGUUUUUCCUCACCAUCGUCACCAAGUGCUGCUCAGAGGGGAAAUGGAUUUCUUUCUACAAUACU
ensembl:lncRNA